UUGGGACAGUUCGCAUCCUUGCAUUCUUUUUUCCUCGGGGAACCGAUCAUUUGGUUUAUCCAGUGAUACACGAGUCCUGCUUCUAUCAGCCGCUGUUUCAUUAGGUCUAUGACUCUCUUGAAGGGGGCGUUUCUUCUGUUGGGAGUGGAAGCUUUCAUUCAUAAAUUAAUAUUGAUAUCAAAGGAGACAUGGAAAUCAUUGUACAGGCGAUGAGUUUGGCCAUCUGGAUUGACGACAUCUUCAACCACCUUGCUUACCUUCGAAGGGCUGAAUCAACGCCAAAUACGAGGGUAUCUGGCGGGGUUUGGACGAAACAAGGACCAGAGGCUCGAUCACAUAGACUCUUGUGUAGUCUAUCACCGACAGGCGCUCUCUCAGGGCAAGCGAUGGACUCCCACUGCCCGUGAGGUCAAAGAGGAACACCCGACAAGUCACCUUCUCUUCCCCUUCCCUCAGCUGGGGCAAGAGGGCAUCCGAUUGGUCAAACGAGGUCAGUUGUAAGUUCAAAAUCGCCCCAGGAAUGUAAGCGUCUCUUAGACCUCUGAAAAGACAGUACUUAUUGAUUUAAAUUCCUGGAAAAGUACGAAGAUCAAUGAAAUAUUUGUGAAAGGAUAACAUUUAAAUUGGCGAUCACAAUAGUUGAACAAUAAUCACGGGAAAAACUCGAAAAAUGAAUCUAUGCAAAGUCAUAAACAGAAUCGCAUGUUUUUCAAGUUAACUUUUAUGUACAGUUUAAUGCGAGAUCCUCCUUUCAUCAACUUUUAUAUUUUGUAUUUAUCGUUAUCUCGUACGUAAUAUUUUGUCUGUAUCUAUUGUAUAUUUGUACCGAGUGUU